rnacentral:rRNA from 1 species
GACGAACGCUGGCGGCGUGCUUAACACAUGCAAGUCGAACGGAGUGGCGAACGGGUGAGUAACACGUCGGUGAUCUGCCUUGCACUUCGGGAUAAGCUUGGGAAACUGGGUCUAAUACCGGAUAGUGCAAGAUGAGCUCGCGGCCUAUCAGUUUGUUGGUGGGGGAAGGGCCUACCAAGGCGUCGACGGGUAGCCGGCCUGAGAGGGUGUACGGCCACAUUGGGACUGAGCUACGGCCCAGACGCCGACGGGAGGCAGCAGUGGGGAAUAUUGCGCAAUGGGCGGAAGCCUGAUGCAGCGACACCGGGUGGGGGAUGAAGGCCUUCGGGUUGUAAACUCCUUGCGACAGGGACGCGUUACCUGUAUAAGAAGCACCGGCUAACUACGUGCCAGCAGCCGCGGUAAUAC